CGUAGUUCAGUUGGUUAGAGCGUCAGAUUGUGGUUCUGAAUGUCGUGGGUUCGAAUCCCACCG
rnacentral:tRNA from 2 species